GAUGAACGCUGGCGGCGUGCCUAAUACAUGCAAGUCGAGCGAACAGACGAGGAGCUUGCUCCUCUGACGUUAGCGGCGGACGGGUGAGUAACACGUGGAUAACCUACCUAUAAGACUGGGAUAACUUCGGGAAACCGGAGCUAAUACCGGAUAAUAUAUUGAACCGCAUGGUUCAAUAGUGAAAGACGGUUUUGCUGUCACUUAUAGAUGGAUCCGCGCCGCAUUAGCUAGUUGGUAAGGUAACGCCUUACCAAGGCAACGAUGCGUAGCCGACCUGAGAGGGUGAUCGGCCACACUGGAACUGAGACACGGUCCAGACUCCUACGGGAGGCAGCAGUAGGGAAUCUUCCGCAAUGGGCGAAAGCCUGACGGAGCAACGCCGCGUGAGUGAUGAAGGUCUUCGGAUCGUAAAACUCUGUUAUUAGGGAAGAACAAAUGUGUAAGUAACUAUGCACGCCUUGACGGUACCUAAUCAGAAAGCCACGGCUAACUACGUG
rnacentral:rRNA from 1 species